rnacentral:lncRNA from 1 species
GGUUGAGUGAGCUCCACCUGUGAAAUGCAGCCCUUGUUCUCUCAGCAGAGGGUGGGAGCUUGGGAAAAGGUUGUGAGGACAUAGGAAAAAAGAAUGUUGGAUUAGUGCUUUGGCUGUAAAGGAAUAACCUGGAUGUUCCACUUUGAAGUGAAACAGCCAAGUCCUCAUACCUGACCUCUUGGGAAGAAUGUGUGUGGCAAAAAAAAAAGUUCAGAGUGCCUUUGAACAAGCUGCAACCAAACAAGAGCCUUCUUCAGCCCUCACCCUGGCUUCCUUCUCAUCUGCCUUGUUUAGGAUGCAGCAUAAGAUGUUUGGAGGCUCACUGGGCAAGGAUGAUAGAGAGCCUUCUUGGUUGCCAAAGCAUUUAAGACCACCUUAGAAGGGCUGUCAGGGGGAUUCUACAAGCACAGAACAUAUGGGGAGGAUGGCCUGUAUUUAUU